GGAAUAUAAGCCGUGCGUGGAUCAGCAGCAAUCUCUCUAGUCUGCUGUAUGUACGCUGCAAUACGGAGGAUGGCCACAGACACAUAAAUUUAUGGCCAGUUCCAGUCGAGCCAGCUUCAUAUGCUCUCCAUGUUCAUAAGGGGGGGCGUCAGGAUCAUGAUUAAGGAUAAUGGCAAGUUCCUGGGAGCUUCGAGACUGGUGCAGAAGGUCAACUGCGAACUGUUGGCACUGGCGUCGGAGUUCCUGUGUUCAGAAGCAACACAAAUGGCAGGAUAAUACCUCAGAUUCCUUGGAAAUCUCAAGAAAAACAGAAGGUGGCAGCACUAUGCGACGCACAUGCCACCUGCGAAAACACAGAGGAUUUGUGGGGCUUGAAAUAAGAAACUAUGCGUUUUAUACCUCACUCUAUUGCAUUAACUGCUCAUGGCUUCUGUAGCGUAGGUCUGUGUGACAUGGCACCUGAGAGCUGGAAUGGUGGAGUCAAAGCAGCAUCGCAGAGACAUCUGUUGCUAGGCAACGGCUCAGUGAACACGUUCCCACAGCAGUCAAUACACACAACAAUAGAGGAGCUAAUGGAGGCGGUAUUUUCUAUUGAGCGUACCCAAAAUUAUGUAAGGAGGACGAGUGGGACUAGAUUUAUUGUUAGCAGUCAGUCGUCAGCCAGCACGGAGAAUCCCCACUGUUGGAAACUCUACCAAGCAACGAGUAGUGAAGAAACAGCAUUUAGUUAUAGAUUUUGUAGAAUAGUGAGAAUGUUGUAAUUAUUUGUACUUAUGAGUAAUAGGCAUUCAAUAAAUUC